rnacentral:rRNA from 1 species
AGCGUACACGGUGGAUGCCCUGGCAGUCAGAGGCGAUGAAGGACGUGCUAAUCUGCGAAAAGCGCCGGCGAGGUGAUAUGAACCUUUGACCCGGCGAUGUCCGAAUGGGGAAACCCAGUGUGAUYCGUCACACUAUCGUUAACUGAAUACAUAGGUUAACGAGGCGAACCGGGGGAACUGAAACAUCUAAGUACCCCGAGGAAAAGAAAUCAACCGAGAUUCCCCCAGUAGCGGCGAGCGAACGGGGAGCAGCCCAGAGUCUGAAUCAGCUUGUGUGUUAGUGGAAGCGUCUGGAAAGUCGCACGGUACAGGGUGACAGUCCCGUACACGAAAGCACACAGGYUGUGAACUCGAAGAGUAGGGCGGGACACGUGGUAUCCUGUCUGAAUAUGGGGGGACCAUCCUCCAAGGCUAAAUACUCCUGACUGACCGAUAGUGAACCAGUACCGUGAGGGAAAGGCGAAAAGAACCCCGGCGAGGGGAGUGAAAAAGAACCUGAAACCGUGUACGUACAAGCAGUGGGAGCCUCUUUAUGGGGUGACUGCGUACCUUUUGUAUAAUGGGUCAGCGACUUAUAUUCUGUAGCAAGGUUAACCGUAUAGGGGAGCCGAAGGGAAACCGAGUCUUAACUGGGCGUUAAGUUGCAGGGUAUAGACCCGAAACCCGGUGAUCUAGCCAUGGGCAGGUUGAAGGUUGGGUAACACUAACUGGAGGACCGAACCGACUAAUGUUGAAAAAUUAGCGGAUGACUUGUGGCUGGGGGUGAAAGGCCAAUCAAACCGGGAGAUAGCUGGUUCUCCCCGAAAGCUAUUUAGGUAGCGCCUCGUGUACGAAUACCGAAGAAUGUUAUCACGGGAGACACACGGCGGGUGCUAACGUCCGUCGUGAAGAGGGAAACAACCCAGACCGCCAGCUAAGGUCCCAAAGUCAUGGUUAAGUGGGAAACGAUGUGGGAAGGCACAGACAGCCAGGAUGUUGGCUUAGAAGCAGCCAUCAUUUAAAGAAAGCGUAAUAGCUCACUGGUCGAGUCGGCCUGCGCGGAAGAUGUAACGGGGCUAAACCAUGCACCGAAGCUGCGGCAGCGACACUAUGUGUUGUUGGGUAGGGGAGCGUUCUGUAAGCCGUUGAAGGUGUCCUGUGAGGGGUGCUGGAGGUAUCAGAAGUGCGAAUGCUGACAUAAGUAACGAUAAAGCGGGUGAAAAGCCCGCUCGCCGGAAGACCAAGGGUUCCUGUCCAACGUUAAUCGGGGCAGGGUGAGUCGACCCCUAAGGCGAGGCCGAAAGGCGUAGUCGAUGGGAAACAGGUUAAUAUUCCUGUACUUGGUGUUACUGCGAAGGGGGGACGGAGAAGGCUAUGUUAGCCGGGCGACGGUUGUCCCGGUUUAAGCAUGUAGGCGGAGGUUCCAGGUAAAUCCGGUUCCUUGUUAACGCUGAGGUGUGAUGACGAGGCACUACGGUGCUGAAGUAACAAAUGCCCUGCUUCCAGGAAAAGCCUCUAAGCAUCAGGUAACAUCAAAUCGUACCCCAAACCGACACAGGUGGUCAGGUAGAGAAUACCAAGGCGCUUGAGAGAACUCGGGUGAAGGAACUAGGCAAAAUGGUGCCGUAACUUCGGGAGAAGGCACGCUGAUAUGUAGGUGAAGCCCCUGCGGGUGGAGCUGAAAUCAGUCGAAGAUACCAGCUGGCUGCAACUGUUUAUUAAAAACACAGCACUGUGCAAACACGAAAGUGGACGUAUACGGUGUGACGCCUGCCCGGUGCCGGAAGGUUAAUUGAUGGGGUUAGCGGUAACGCGAAGCUCUUGAUCGAAGCCCCGGUAAACGGCGGCCGUAACUAUAACGGUCCUAAGGUAGCGAAAUUCCUUGUCGGGUAAGUUCCGACCUGCACGAAUGGCGUAAUGAUGGCCAGGCUGUCUCCACCCGAGACUCAGUGAAAUUGAACUCGCUGUGAAGAUGCAGUGUACCCGCGGCAAGACGGAAAGACCCCGUGAACCUUUACUAUAGCUUGACACUGAACACUGGUCCUUGAUGUGUAGGAUAGGUGGGAGGCUUUGAAGCGUGGACGCCAGUCUGCGUGGAGCCAACCUUGAAAUACCACCCUUUAAUGGCUGGUGUUCUAACGUAGACCCGUGAUCCGGGUUGCGGACAGUGUCUGGUGGGUAGUUUGACUGGGGCGGUCUCCUCCCAAAGAGUAACGGAGGAGCACGAAGGUUAGCUAAUCCUGGUCGGACAUCAGGAGGUUAGUGCAAUGGCAUAAGCUAGCUUGACUGCGAGAGUGACGGCUCGAGCAGGUGCGAAAGCAGGUCAUAGUGAUCCGGUGGUUCUGAAUGGAAGGGCCAUCGCUCAACGGAUAAAAGGUACUCCGGGGAUAACAGGCUGAUACCGCCCAAGAGUUCAUAUCGACGGCGGUGUUUGGCACCUCGAUGUCGGCUCAUCACAUCCUGGGGCUGAAGUAGGUCCCAAGGGUAUGGCUGUUCGCCAUUUAAAGUGGUACGCGAGCUGGGUUUAGAACGUCGUGAGACAGUUCGGUCCCUAUCUGCCGUGGGCGCUGGAGAAUUGAGGGGGGCUGCUCCUAGUACGAGAGGACCGGAGUGGACGCAUCACUGGUGUUCGGGUUGUCAUGCCAAUGGCACUGCCCGGUAGCUAAAUGCGGAAGAGAUAAGUGCUGAAAGCAUCUAAGCACGAAACUUGCCCCGAGAUGAGUUCU